rnacentral:ncRNA from 2 species
GCCUUAUCAAGAGAAACUGAGGGACUGGCCUAAUGACGUUUCAGCAACCAUACUUAAAAAGUGAAGGUGCUAAUUCCAGCAGAACUGAGUUCUGGAAGAUAGGGG